CGAAGUGUGUACUCAAAUCGAAGGGAAUUUUGUUAGCUUUCCAUAUCAUCAAGCGGAAUUUACAUCAGAGUUACACAGAAGGAGCAGUUACCGUUUUAGUAGAGCCCUGUUCUAGAAUACGGGUUUGACCCAAGCUCCUCCAACCUUUUCAAAAACUACCUUGUUCUUAAAAUUGAUUCACACGAGGCUCUCAACUUGAUUUCCCUUAUCUUCCAUCAACUUGUGGUUACUCAAUUUGUCACAUGCACCAACCAAAAGAGAAGGCAUAAAGAUUGGGGUUUUGAGAUUUAACUUGAAUAGAAGGAAGAAAAUAGGAUUUAUGGCUCUUACCUUGCUUAUACUUACCUUGAAUCACUAGAAAUUUCUCCCAUAGCCUUCGUUGGUAGAAGUUUUAGAUCUAAUCAUGAAAUGGGUUGGAAUUUAAGAUGGAGGCUUUGGUUCGGCCAAGGUGAGAAGAGAGAUUGUUUUACUCUUUGAACUUGUUUCCAUUUGAUUCAAAAU
rnacentral:lncRNA from 1 species